rnacentral:tRNA from 1 species
GGUUGUGGCUCAGUGGUAGAGCACUCGCCUUGCUCAUGCGAGACUCUGGGUUCGAUCCUCAGCACCA